rnacentral:rRNA from 1 species
UACGUAGGGGGCGAGCGUUGUCCGAAGUUCCUGGGCGUAAAGCGCGCGUAGGCGGGUUGGCAAGUCUGCUGUGAAAGCCCGGGGCUCAACCCCGGAGGGUCGGUGGAUACUGCCAGUCUUGAAGGUGCUAGGGAGAGAUGGAAUUACCGGUGUAGCGGUGAAAUGCGUAGAGAUCGGUAGGAACACCAGUGGCGAAGGCGGUCUCUUGGGGCAUUCUUGACGCUGAGGCGCGAAAGCUGGGGGAGCGAACGGG